GCCAGGCGUGGUGGCACACGCCUGUAAUCCCAGCUGCUUGGGAGGCUGAGGCAGGAGAAUUGCUUGAGCCCGGGAGGCAGAGGUUGCAGUGAGCCGAGAUCAUGCCACUGCACUCCAGCCUGGCCAACAGAGCGAGACUCUGUCUCAA
ensembl:misc_RNA Metazoa_SRP Metazoan signal recognition particle RNA